AGUGAACGCUGGCGGUAGGCCUAACACAUGCAAGUCGAACGGCAGCACAGUAAGAGCUUGCUCUUACGGGUGGCGAGUGGCGGACGGGUGAGGAAUACAUCGGAAUCUACUUUUUCGUGGGGGAUAACGUAGGGAAACUUACGCUAAUACCGCAUACGACCUACGGGUGAAAGCAGGGGAUCUUCGGACCUUGCGCGAUUGAAUGAGCCGAUGUCGGAUUAGCUAGUUGGCGGGGUAAAGGCCCACCAAGGCGACGAUCCGUAGCUGGUCUGAGAGGAUGAUCAGCCACACUGGAAGUGAGAAACGGUCCAGACUCCUACGGGAGGCAGCAGUGGGGAAUAUUGGAGAAUGGGCGCAAGCAUGAUCCAGCAAUACCGCGGGGGUGAAGAAGGCCUUCGGGUUGUAGAGCCCUUUUGUUGGGAAAGAAAAGCAGCAGGUUAAUACCCCGCUGUUCUGACGGUACCCAAAGAAUAAGCACCGGCUAACUUCGUG
rnacentral:rRNA from 1 species